rnacentral:rRNA from 1 species
UAGGGAAUCUUCGGCAAUGGACGAAAGUCUGACCGAGCAACGCCGCGUGAGUGAAGAAGGUUUUCGGAUCGUAAAACUCUGUUGUUAGAGAAGAACAAGGACGUUAGUAACUGAACGUCCCCUGACGGUAUCUAACCAGAAAGCCACGGCUAACUACGUGCCAGCAGCCGCGGUAAUACGUAGGUGGCAAGCGUUGUCCGGAUUUAUUGGGCGUAAAGCGAGCGCAGGCGGUUUCUUAAGUCUGAUGUGAAAGCCCCCGGCUCAACCGGGGAGGGUCAUUGGAAACUGUGAGACUUGAGUGCAGAAGAGGAGAGUGGAGUUCCAUGUGUAGCGGUGAAAUGCGUAGAUAUAAGGAGGAACACCAGUGGCGAAGGCGGCUCUCUGGUCUGUAACUGACGCUGAGGCUCGAAAGCGUGGGGAGCAAACAGG